UACAGAGACUGCGAGCGUUAUUCGGAUUCACUGGGCGUAAAGGGUGCGCAGGCGGCCGAGUGUGUGAGGCGUGAAAGCCCGGGGCUUAACCCCGGAAUUGCACCUCAAACUACUCGGCUAGAGCAUUGGAGAGGGUAGCAGAAUUCAUGGUGUAGCAGUGAAAUGCGUAGAUAUCAUGAGGAAUACCAGAGGCGAAGGCGGCUACCUGGACAAUUGCUGACGCUCAGGCACGAAAGCGUGGGGAGCAAAAGGG
rnacentral:rRNA from 1 species